rnacentral:rRNA from 1 species
UGGGGAAUAUUGGACAAUGGGCGCAAGCCUGAUCCAGCCAUGCCGCGUGAGUGAUGAAGGCCUUAGGGUUGUAAAGCUCUUUCGACGGGGACGAUAAUGACGGUACCCGUAGAAGAAGCCCCGGCUAACUUCGUGCCAGCAGCCGCGGUAAUACGAAGGGGGCUAGCGUUGCUCGGAAUCACUGGGCGUAAAGGGCGCGUAGGCGGACAUUUAAGUCAGAGGUGAAAGCCCAGGGCUCAACCCUGGAACAGCCUUUGAUACUGGGUGUCUCGAGACCGGAAGAGGUUGGUGGAACUGCGAGUGUAGAGGUGAAAUUCGUAGAUAUUCGCAAGAACACCGGUGGCGAAGGCGGCCAACUGGUCCGGUUCUGACGCUGAGGCGCGAAAAGCGUGGGGAGCAAACAGGAUUAGAUACCCUGGUAGUCCACGCCGUAAACGAUGGAUGCUAGCCGUUGGCGGGUUUACCCGUCAGUGGCGCAGCUAACGCGUUAAGCAUCCCGCCUGGGGAGUACGGUCGCAAGAUU